rnacentral:lncRNA from 1 species
AUUAAUUGACCAUAAAAAAUAAUUAAUAUCUGAAUUUUGGAAAAUGUGUACAUGGAUGUGGGAGAGAGAGAGAGACGUGUACCUGAAUCUGAUCCCCAAGGUUGACAAUGAGAGCAUCUGGAAUAGGCUCAACAGUGACCCAGUGCUCGCCUUUACGGACUUGGAGGCCAGAAACGUCAUCAUCGGGGAGGAGAAUGGUCAUGCCACCGGGGUCGGAGUGAGGUGAAAUGCCGAGGGUGAGGUCUGGUUGUGGGCACUUGGGGUAGUAAUUCACCCUCAGGCAUGCCCCAACGUCAUCCCCUCCAAAUGCGUUUUGGAGAUGGUCCCCCUCUAGUCCAAGGUUCACCGAUAAAAUCUUCAUUAAAAUUCCACAUAGCUCAACCACAGCUUUGCUGUACUCGUGCACCAGUUCCCUGCAUUCAUUUCCAUCCAUUAACCCUUUUUUUUUUUUUUUUUGCCUUUACUACAUUUUCAAUAUUUAUAUAUUUUUGUUGUCAAAAAAUUCGAAAGAAAAUAUAAAGGAGAAGUAGAAGUAAAAUAAAAAAAAAUAGAUUAAAAAUUGAUAAAUUAUUUUUUUUAUUACUUCAAACUCAUUUUAUUUAUUUUAACUCAUUAAUAUAAAAAUUAAAUAAUUUAAAAAUAUAUAUUAAUUUUUAAUUAGUUUUAAUCAUAUUUUAUUUUUUAGAUAUUUUUCAUAGUACAACCAUGAAAAAAUUAUUUUUCUUUUCAUUUUUUUCUUUCCUUAAUAUUUUUUAGGAACCAAACAUAUUAGUCUCUCAUUCUGAGAGGCUUUUAAACUUUAAUAAAGGUCGAUUUUGACCGUAUUUGGAUGGGUUAGGUAUGACACUUUCCUAUAUAAAAUUUAAGCAUAUUUUUUAAAAGUAAUGAAAAUGUUUUAAUAAAAAUAUUUUUCAAACAUAAAAUUCAAUAGUUAUUGUCCUAGAAAGAUCCUUUUUCUGCCCUUAUCAUCUCUAGAGGUUGCAAGUGGUGAUUAAAGAGAGAGAGAGAAAACUAAAAAAAGAAAAGUCUCAAAACCCUUUCUAUUUAUAUUUUGUGGGCCAAAUUGGAUUACAGAAUACCUAAAACUGAAAAAGGCACUUCUCAAAAUACUUUCUAUUUCUAUUUUGUGGGCCAAAUUAGAUUACACAGUACCCAAAACUUAAAAAAGGUCUUCCCAAUUGGGUUAACCUUCUUAAAUAUGAGGACCUCAAAUUGGUUACUAUUAUCAAAUGUUUAUCUUUUAAAAUAGUACACCAUUCUUACAAUACAUCAAACAAAAAUACACCUUAUUUUCAUUAAAUUAGAAAAUUAAUACUUUUUAAAUUUUUAUUUAUUAGAAAUUUAUUU